rnacentral:rRNA from 1 species
AGGGUUCGAUUCUGGCUCAGGAUGAACGCUGGCGGCGUGCUUAACACAUGCAAGUCGAACGGGAUCCAGGCAGCUUGCUGCCUGGUGAGAGUGGCGAACGGGUGAGUAAUGCGUGACCGACCUGCCCCAUACACCGGAAUAGCUCCUGGAAACGGGUGGUAAUGCCGGAUGCUCCGACUCCUCGCAUGGGGUGUCGGGAAAGAUUAUAUCGGUAUGGGAUGGGGUCGCGUCCUAUCAGGUAGUCGGCGGGGUAACGGCCCACCGAGCCUACGACGGGUAGCCGGCCUGAGAGGGCGACCGGCCACAUUGGGACUGAGAUACGGCCCAGACUCCUACGGGAGGCAGCAGUGGGGAAUAUUGCACAAUGGGCGCAAGCCUGAUGCAGCGACGCCGCGUGAGGGAUGGAGGCCUUCGGGUUGUAAACCUCUUUUAUCGGGGAGCAAGCGAGAGUGAGUUUACCCGUUGAAUAAGCACCGGCUAACUACGUGCCAGCAGCCGCGGUAAUACGUAGGGUGCAAGCGUUAUCCGGAAUUAUUGGGCGUAAAGGGCUCGUAGGCGGUUCGUCGCGUCCGGUGUGAAAGUCCAUCGCUUAACGGUGGAUCUGCGCCGGGUACGGGCGGGCUGGAGUGCGGUAGGGGAGACUGGAAUUCCCGGUGUAACGGUGGAAUGUGUAGAUAUCGGGAAGAACACCAAUGGCGAAGGCAGGUCUCUGGGCCGUUACUGACGCUGAGGAGCGAAAGCGUGGGGAGCGAACAGGAUUAGAUACCCUGGUAGUCCACGCCGUAAACG